GGAGUUUGGGCCGUGUCUCAGUCCCAAUGUGGCCGUACACCCUCUCAGGCCGGCUACUGAUCGUUGCCUUGGUGGGCCGUUACCUCGCCAACUAGCUAAUCAGACGCGGGUCCAUCUCAUACCACCGGAGUUUUUCACACUGUAUCAUGCGAUACUGUGCGCUUAUGCGGUAUUAUCAGUCGUUUCCAACUGCUAUCCCCCAGUAUGAGGCAGGUUACCCACGCGUUACUCACCCGUCCGCCACUAAGUGAUUCAAAUGAGUCAAUCAAGUGCAAGCACUAUCAAUCCUCGGGAGAACCACUCCGUUCGACUUGCAUGUGUUAAGCACGCCGCCAGCGUUUAUC
rnacentral:rRNA from 1 species